UUUUUCUGUGGGCCUUUGUAUGCAACGGUGGCGCGCCAAAGGACAAUGAAGAGCUGCCAGUCAUUUCCUGACCCUGGGCUGAGCCUGGCACCUUGCCUACUGCAGCUGCUGAGCAGAGGGUCUCCGGGAAGUCUGUUCCUCUCCUUUUCCAAGUCAGGCCUGUCCUCCAAGCAUUUACACACCUGAAACUCAGCUUGGACCAUCCAGAAGUCAGAUGCAGCGACGUACAUGGAGCCAGUAAAUUUGUUCUCUGCUGCACUCCCCUGCCUCGCCGUCCAAGAUGGCAUUUAUUUCGGUUUAGUCCUGUCAUAAUCCCUCCAUCAGCAGCUCAGACUCAGUGACAGAACAACAGUAACAGGAAGAGACUCCCGGCGGUGAAACUUGAAGGUACAACCUACACCUCUUGAAGGUAACUCUGCACUUCUGAUAUGUGCCGGAUGCUCACUCCCACCCAGGACUUUAACUGCAGCCGAGUGGACCCAAACGUUGAACCGUUGGACCCAAGACCUGUAUACAUCAGAGGGACCCUAAGGGAGCACUAGAUGGUGAGUCUAAAUUUUAAGGUGAAGCCAUUUUAGUUUUUCCUGAAGUACAGUUUGAGCACCAGAAAAUCACCUCUGCCAUAAGCACAAAUGGCCAAAGCUUAGUGCUGAUCUGUGUUUUUCACAUGCAAUCAAGGGAUUUAGGACUUCAUCCAACACUCAGGGAAGUGAAUGGGAGCAUCCUCAUUGCCUCUAAUAGGCGCUGGAUCUGGUUGAGCUCUCUAAUUCAACGAUGAAUCACGCCAUCUCCUGAACAGAAGAAGAGCAUUAUAGGAGCAUAGGCUGCAGGUGAAGCUCACAAGUUUUUUAGCAGCUUGUACAAAGCCAUGACUCUCCAUUAAGUUUUGCCCUUUCCAUCUGUGUUCCUAUAGGUGAUGUCUUUGUUUGUAGGUAAUUUGUGCUGUGCACUUUUGCCAAACGAUUGUUUUCAUUGUGUACAGUUCCUUCCUCUGGGCACUUCGACUGUUGACUCUGAUUACUACCACAUCAAGUACAUGAAAAUGUUCCUUUACUGUAUAAUUAACUUUAUCUGCUUUGCUACAAUGACUCUCACUGGUAAUUAUACACACUUCAUCUCUUUCACUGCAUUUCUAAGACUUUAAGAAGUGCUGAUUACCCUUGCCCAGUCUAUGUCCAAACUGGAGGGUUUUCACAUGUGCACAAUUAUAUCUUUUUCCUUGCAGCGGCCGGGCUCUAAUCUAGAUAUCGAUUAUACUACGUAUAAUGUGACCUUUACAUAAACCAUCUGUUUGGAUUUUGCUGGGCUUGGCAUUCUCACAUGAGUUGGGAGCACA